rnacentral:rRNA from 1 species
GGUGAGUAACACGUGGGCAAUCUGCCCUUCACUCUGGGACAAGCCCUGGAAACGGGGUCUAAUACCGGAUACUGACCCUCGCAGGCAUCUGCGAGGUUCGAAAGCUCCGGCGGUGAAGGAUGAGCCCGCGGCCUAUCAGCUUGUUGGUGAGGUAAUGGCUCACCAAGGCGACGACGGGUAGCCGGCCUGAGAGGGCGACCGGCCACACUGGGACUGAGACACGGCCCAGACUCCUACGGGAGGCAGCAGUGGGGAAUAUUGCACAAUGGGCGAAAGCCUGAUGCAGCGACGCCGCGUGAGGGAUGACGGCCUUCGGGUUGUAAACCUCUUUCAGCAGGGAAGAAGCGAAAGUGACGGUACCUGCAGAAGAAGCGCCGGCUAACUACGUGCCAGCAGCCGCGGUAAUACGUAGGGCGCAAGCGUUGUCCGGAAUUAUUGGGCGUAAAGAGCUCGUAGGCGGCUUGUCACGUCGGUUGUGAAAGCCCGGGGCUUAACCCCGGGUCUGCAGUCGAUACGGGCAGGCUAGAGUUCGGUAGGGGAGAUCGGAAUUCCUGGUGUAGCGGUGAAAUGCGCAGAUAUC